rnacentral:lncRNA from 1 species
UGAUGGCACCUAGUCUCUAUGACUAGGUAAGCCUAAUUUGCGGAAGAAAACCAAAAUUUACGGAAGUAAAACAAUUUAAAAUAGAAAUAAAGUAGUAACAAUGUUUAAAUGUGCCGCUCGGCUUACACCAUGUUUAACUCUCACUACCAAUACAUAAAUUCAAGACCCGAAAACCCACGAAUCACAAGCUAAGAUCAAUACUAUAUAGCUCUAACUUCGGAAUGUCUAAUAAGAACAAAAAAAUUACAAAAGGGCUAAAUACUAAAAGCAGGAAUAGAAAGAGACUUCUCGGUUUGCGGACGCGGCAGAUGUACCUCGAAGUGUCUAGAGCAGUCGCCUCCUCAAGGAUGAUAGGCCUGAGUAGCGGUACCUGGAUCUGCACAUGAAAAAUAUGCACAGUAGGGGGAUGAAUACACCGCGGUACUCAGUAAGUGUCAAGCCUAACCUCGGUUGGAUAGUGACGAGGAAGGUCAGGGCCCUACUGAGAUUAGAUAAAUAUAAAGAUGACAGGAUAAGAUAAGUGGUACAAUUGAGAAUCUACAGUAAGAAUCUACACAGGAUAAUAAGAGUACAAUAAUGGAAACAGAGAUGAAGGCAAACCACAAGGAAGUACCACUCACAACAAGGCUGAUAACCGGGGAUCUCUGAGUAUCCCGAGGAUCUCUUGAUAUCCUCUAUGUAUACAAGGGAUCUCUUGGUAUCCUCAAUAUAUGCUAGGGAUCUCUUGGUAUCCCGAGGAUCUCUUGGUAUCCUCAUUAUACGUGCCAAGGAUCUCUUGGUAUCCUCAAUAUACGUGACAGGGAUCUCUUGGUAUCCCGCACCUCACUCCAGAUCAUAAAUACGUACAGAGGAUCUCCCGGGAUGCCAUCCCGUAGUCCCAAAUUAAAAACACACAGAAGCAACACAAGAAUACUUAAUUAAAUGCUAAUUUCGUGCCAAGUAAAUAGUUAAUUCUAGCCUAACAUGCUUCAUGUAAAGCAAUUAAAGUUGUUUAAGCAAAUAGGCAAUUAAGUCAACCAAACAUGCUUUUCUAAGCUACAACAGGCCAAAUUCGCAAGUAGAAUAAAACAGGACAAAGAAACUCAAUUGAAAUACUUAAAGUAAAAUCGGAUUUUCAACAAUUAGUUCAAGUACGCACUCGUCACCUCACGUACAAGGCAUUUCAAUUAUCAAAUAUAUCAUAUCCUAAGGGGAAAGUCCCCCACAUAAGGUUAGACAAGUCACUUACCUCGAACCAGCUCAAAAUUAACCCGACACCACGUCUUUGCCACGAGUACUCAACUCCAGAUGGCACAAGUCUAUUCAAUUCAAUUUCAUAGUGUAAAUAACGCUUCAAGUAACGGAUUCUACAAUUAAGGUCUAAGCUAAUACGCAAAAUUAUGUAAAAUGACCAAAAUGCCCCUCGGAUCCACGUCUCAAAAUCGGGUGAAAUUUAUAUUUUCAGAAACCUCGUACUCUCACGAGUCUAUACAUAAUAAGAACACUGAAAUCGGAGUCCAAAUAACCCUUCAAAUCCUCAUUUAAAGGUCUCUUAAACUCAAGCCCUAAAUACUCAUUCUUCCCAAAUUUUUCACCACUAAUUAGGUCUUUAAUCACAUAAAAAUGAGUUAUGAAGUCAAGAAUGUUACCUCCAAGUGAUUACCCUUUGUUUCCCUCGAAAAUCUCUCUCAAAAGCUUCAAACCCGGAUGAAAAUGGUGAAAGAAUAGUUAAAAUUUGCGAAGGCAAUUAUUUAUAUGUUCUGGCCAGCGAUUUCCGCAUCUGCGGCCCUGGGACCGCAUCUGGGGUCCUGCUUCUGUGGAGCCAAGGUCGCAUCUGCGACUUUUUAUUAAAGGGCCAGCUUCCGCAUCUGCUACUCCCAAUCCGCAGAUGCGGUACCACUUCUAUGGUAUUAUCACCGCUUCUGCGGUUUGUGAAGAAAUGACCAAAUUCCGCAUCUGCAGUUAUCCUUCUGCAGGUGCAGUACCGCUUCUGCGGUAAACUACCUGCAUCUGCGGUUCCUGAAGAGAUGGCCAAUUUUCGCUUUUGUUUCCACUUAGCCGCUUCUGCGGUGCCGCACCUGCGGAACCCAAACCACAGGUGUGGUUAUGACAGAACCAGCUGUGAGCACGUGAUUUUUGCCCCACAAGAACUACUCCCAAAAAAAUCAAAAUAAAAUAGUUUUGCGUUGCUUAUGAUUUAUUUGUACUUGUCUGUGCAUGUUCAUUUUUUUUACUUUAAUUAAGAAAAAUACAAAAAUAUAUGUGUUGUAUUUGCAUUUACAAUUUAGGAUUAAUUAAAAAGUAAUUUGUUUUACGAAAAUGAAAAUCGAAAAAUAACGUACUUCGCAUUUUUAUGGUUUAAUGUCAAAUUGUGUGAUUAUCUUUGUAUUUAAUUUUGUGUGAUAAUUAUUAUUAAGGGUUAAUUAGUAUUUUUUUAAAUUAAUUUUGGUAAUUAGGAAUCAAAAAGAAAAUAAAAGAAAAAAAGAAGGAACAAGAGAAGAAGAGUUAAAAAUCGCACUGGGCUGGUUUUUAAAAGAAAGGUUCAGGCCCAAUGUCACACCCCAACCCAGGCCCAAACCGGCUGGUCUCAGAGAUGGCCAAAACGACGUCGUUCCCUGACGCCCAAUCUGGGCCGUUUAUAUGAUUCAAUCCAACGGUCCAGGUCACCCCUCCCAUAACCCGUAUUGACCCAUUCCCCAUACUCGUUCCUAUACCCGCCCUGACACCGUUACUACUAAACGACCCCGUUUGGCUUAAGUAAAUUAAUCUGGACCGUUCGUUCCCAUCAUCCAAUGGCCCAGAUUAAUCAACUUAGUUUCAAUAUGUCAAAACACCCCAAACCCCUUCACUCGCCUCAUUUUCACCCUUCGUCUCUUUCAGAGACGAACUAAACGACCCAACCAAACCCUAGCCGCCCUCAUACCCCUUCGCCUGAAAGCCGGCAGCAACGAUGCCGGUGACCAUGAAAUUCACACCCCUAAACCUUCUAACCAUCCUCAACACAAAUCCCUUCCCCUUUAACCUCGAAUCAUUCCGGUUUGUUUCAAAUCUUCAAUCGAAGAUUCGAGCAAAACCCUAAACCUACCCAACCAGUCCCAAGUUCACACCUCAGCUCCAACUGACCUCCCUCGUUCCCGAACCACCCUUAUUUUUGUUCGAAUCCCAUUAGAACUAGUCGAAUCUUAAAUCGACUAACAAACCCUAAAAGGACCAAGACUGGAACCUGUCCAAAAUUAGGAGAGUUUUGAGGCUGUUAAUCGACCUUAGUCGAGUGUGCUCAGUCGAGAACACUCGAUUAAGGUCCAUUUUUUUGCCUCAGAAGUUCAAGUCGGAACUACGAAGGUCAAUGAGAACGGAGUUCAUUUGGUUUCUGAAAUUUCGAGGUAUUUCUUUUGUUUGCCUUUUUCUUUUGUUGUUGUUUUAUUUCUGACUGAUUAGUUCGUCAUUUAGGUCAAUUAAUCCUCCUCCUCUUUCGGACCUUUUUCUGGUCCAGUUCUUCUCGUCUUGGUCGAUUGGCAUAUGUUGAAUCGUUUGAGUAUGUUUGUUUUUUUAGUUUGGUUGUAAAAGUCAGUGUCCGUAAUAUUCUUGUACAAAAACUGUGUCUAGUCUUGUAAUUGGUUACUAGUAUUACGAGUUCAAAUGAUCUCACUUUUUGUGAUGUUUGGCUCCUUAUUUUUUUUGUUGUUCAUCAUUUCACAUAUAAAUUCAGUUAUUUUCGUCCAGUAUGUGACAGUAUUUCAUUCAUUUUGUUUAGUUUAGAGUUGUGAAUAUAGUUAGUCAUUCCCAUGUAAUGUGUCAAUCAUGGUUGGAAGUUCUAACCUGGUUAUGUUCAAAUAUGUUUUGUCCUGAUUCGUUGGCCUUCAUUUUGAUACCAUUUGAUCUAAUCUGAGUUCUAAGUUCGAACUGCUAAGUGAAUUUGAAUUAAAUUGGUUAUAGCUAUUGUAGUUUGGUGAUCAAUUAGGAAUCAGCUUAGUUAUUUGAUUAAGGAGAUUGGUUAUAGCUUAUGAGGUACAGGGGAUUGGACUAGGACAGUAAAUCACAGUAAUUUCAGGGGUAGUUUUGGGGUUUAAAAGUUUGGCAAAAUGGUCUUGCUAAGUGGGCUGUCAAUAAAGCACUUAAUUAACAUUAAACUAAUGCAUUUGUUUAGUGUUAAUGGGGAACAAAACAUAAUGGUAUGGGGAGGCUUAAAAGGGAUUGAUUAAAAUAUGUUGUCCAUACCUAUUUGAACAUUAAAUAAGGAAAGGACAAGGGAUAAUGUGGAAAAACAUACUCUAGUGGAGUGCUAAAGGUAUCAUGGGCAGAAUUAGUUUCUGAAAUCUGCCUAGUGUUCUUACAGGCUGGCAGGGUCAGUGUUUGGGUAUAAGUGGGGGGAUUUUGGACAGAGUUGAGGAUCCUUUUUUUUUAGUCUGGGUCUUGAUCUUUUCUUUUGGGGGUUCAGUCUUUGAGAGAGUGUUUUAGACAACCAUCUCACACUGUUACAUUGAUCUCAAGAGCAGAAGCAGUUCAAAUCUUUCUGCUCCUGUUCUGUGCUUGGAUAUUCAGGGCAUUUGAAGAUAGUUGGGGAUUUACUNNNNNNNNNNNNNNNNNNNNNNNNNNNNNNNNNNNNNNNNNNNNNNNNNNNNNNNNNNNNNNNNNNNNNNNNNNNNNNNNNNNNNNNNNNNNNNNNNNNNNNNNNNNNNNNNNNNNNNNNNNNNNNNNNNNNNNNNNNNNNNNNNNNNNNNNNNNNNNNNNNNNNNNNNNNNNNNNNNNNNNNNNNNNNNNNNNNNNNNNNNNNNNNNNNNNNNNNNNNNNNNNNNNNNNNNNNNNNNNNNNNNNNNNNNNNNNNNNNNNNNNNNNNNNNNNNNNNNNNNNNNNNNNNNNNNNCGAGGGGCUGGGUAUUAUCUGAAUUGCUGAAAGGUGUCCUAUGACUGCCUAGUCUAAUUUCUAGUAGAUUCAGUAUUUUGGUUAAGCUUCUUUCUUCCUGGGCUUUGUGACUGUGGUUUGGUCUUGAGCUUGGCCCUGUUUGUUGUUGUUGAUUGUCAAUCUGUUGGUGUUAUUGUUUGUUGUUGCUACUGUUGCAUUGUUGUGGCUGAUCUCUUCUUCUUCCAUUGUAACUGAUUUCCAGGUACACAACCGUAACUUUGGCAUUUGUAAGCUGAAAACAUGGAGUUUUAAUAUACGUGAAGAGUUGAAAUUUUGUUUUGGUUUCUAUAUGACUGAUGUAUUUAAAUUCUUCAAUCACUGCUGUUAGUAUAUAGAUCCCUGUUAGUAUGUAGUAAGUGGACUGAAAUGGAGUUGUAUGAGAGAUUUUUUUUUAAUAUAGUUCAUACUGAAACGUGUUAGCAUCUGGUAACUGAUUCCUGUAGUAAAAAAUGAGCUUGUUGGACUGUUAAAUUAAUCUGGACUGUGACUAUUAGAUUACUGGAUCAUUGGAUUAUGUUCGACUAAUUCUGAAUGUCAGUUUUUAUGCCAAUGGCAAAUUCAGGAAAGUACCACAUCAAUUGAAAGGAAAAGGAAAGUGUAGAAUGUAAAUAGUAUUGGACUUUGGUUAAAGCGUCGACUGUAGGCAUUAGCUAUAGUUAGUUUAGUGUGUGUGUUCAGUUUAAACACUUAAAGCUAGAAAUAACAGGAGUUAGCAUUCUAUUUUGGAACCUGUGAUAUUGUGCUUGCAUUAAGGGCCGUUGUUCAAAUUGGUAAUAGCAGUCAUGUAAAUGUCGAACUAGAUGUUAGGAUGGCAGUGGCAUAAGACGUUGGCUGAUCCGUUAGUUAAAAACAGAGUUGGGGUAUCAAUUGCAUGUUUUGGAAAUACGAAAUCAUUUUGCGAGUUGUUUACCUGCUUUCAGUGCAUUAUUAAUUCGUUUUAAUUACAAUAGGUGAUGAAUUAGUGAAUUGGUAUUAAACUAGUGGCUUAGAAACUUCGUUCAGGAUCGUUUAAGUUAAUAUGAGCAGUCUGGGCCAUACCGUGGCCCAAUUGUAUGGAUCAUUCGAAUUUGGUAACAACCCCCCCCCCCCCCCCUUUAGGCCACUAACAUGCUUGCUAGCCCGAUGCUUUGAUCAAAGGCCCCAAAAUUGGGCAUUUUUAAACACGCAUGCUUUUAGAUAUAGUAGUUCAUAAAUUAACUAAGUUUUUUUUAUUAUUAUUAGAGACAAUAAUAUUAAAUAGAAAACGUAGUUUACUUUAGGUUUUCUUUUAAUAAUAAAACGAGACGAGCCUCGCCAAAGAAAAAAAAAUAAAGAUCGCGGGGCUCUCGUUAAAUGUAUAUAUUAAAAUACUUAGAUUUCGGGACGGGCCGUUUAGCGAAUUUCACGGUUUUUCCCAAAAUAAUAACGUGCUAGCCACUUUAGGCGCGCUCUUAAUAAUUUACUCUUUUAAACUCGGGUGCACAUUUAUGUGACCCAAAUCCAAAUCUCAAUGGAGUCGAAAUGUGUCAAUAACCACGGGUGCAUCUAUGUGACGUGGUUCAAGACUUGUUUUAACGACGUUGCAAUGUUCUUUAAAAAUAAUAAUAAUAAAAGCGGUAAAAGGUUAAAAUUCGCAUAUAGGUUCAACAUGUAUUAAAAUCAGAUAAAUAAGCCGAAUAAGACAUUUGAGCGACCGUGCUAGAACCACGGAACUCGGGAAUGCCUAACACCUUCUCCCGGGUUAACAGAAUUCCUUAUCCGGAUUUCUGGUUCGCGGACUGUAAUACAGAGUCAAUCUUUUCCUCGAUUCGGGAUUCAACUGGUGACUCGGGACACCAUAAAUCUCCCAAGUGGCGACUCAGAAUUAAAUAAUAAAUCCCGCUUCGAUUGUCCUUUAAUUGGAAAAAACUCCCCUAUUACGCCCUCGCGGGCGCAUGUAAAAAGGAGGUGUGACACCAGCAGCUGAAGCUGCAACUUUAAUUCCAAAAUCUUUUCGUCAACCAUCCGAAAUCAUCCCGAGGUCUCCUGAACCUCAACCAAAGGCACCAACAAGUCACAAACCACUAUCCAAACUUGUAUCAAUCCUUAAAACACCUAAAACAACAUCAAAACCUCGAAUUAACCAUGGAUUUAAGCCUAAGAACUCCAAAAUUCUCAAAAUACGCUUUCGAUCAAAAAGUCUAUCAAACAUCGUCUGAAUAACCUGAAAUUUUGUACACACGUCACAUUCAACACUACGAAGCUACUCCAACUUCCGGAAUUCUAUUCCGACCCUCGGAUCAAAAUCUCACUACCAGACCGGAACUUCAAAAAUUCAACUUCCGGCAUUUCAAGCUUAAAUUAGCUGCGGACCUUCAAAACACACUCCGAACACGCCCCUAAGCCCGAAAUCACCUAACGGAGUUAACGAAACCAUCGAAUUUUCAUUCUGAGGCCGUCUUCAUACUGUUCCGACUACGAUCAACUUUUCAACACUUAAGCUCUCAUAUAGGGACUAAGUUUCCCAAAACUCUCUGAAACUCGAAACCGAAUAUCCCGACAAAUCAAAAUAGCAGAAAUAAACUCGGGGAAAGCAGUUAAUAAGGGAUCGGGACCUUAGUUCUUAAGACGACCGGCCGGAUCGUCACAGAGGACGUCUUUGAACGAGGAGGUGGUAGCAUGAGUGUUAGUGGUUGAAUUUGUUGCAAGAGAAUCAUUAUCUUCAUGCGGAGAAAGUGUAUUGGUUGGUUUUGUAAUAGUAGAGUUAUUACUUUCAUAUUCGUGAUUAAUAUCUGGAGGUUUUGGGGGGAUUUGGAGGGAUUGGUGGACAUUUGACGAAGGUUUAUCAUUGCUUUUAUGGAAAAAGAGGGAGAAGAAGACUAGCAUAUUUCAAAAUUCGCUCUCUCAACUUAGCACUCACAUGUAUAAAUUCUAGAUAUGUCACUGUCCAAAAUUUUUAUGACAUGUCGAAUAUGUAAUAAUUUUUUGUAUAACUACCAUUAUUUUCCGUAGGGCAUCUCCCACCUUUACCCCAUUUUUGGUCCCCAAAAUGGAGAUUUCUUCAUUUUGAGAACAACUUACUCCAACUAUUCCUCCAUUUUUUCUCCCAAAACAAUUUUCUUUUAUAUUUUCUCUCUCUUCUAUAUUAUAUUAUUCUCUUUCAUUUCAAUUUUAUUUUUUAAUUUUCAUUAAACAAAUUCAAUCUUUUAUUUUCAUUAAUUUAUAAUUUCCAUUAAAACAAUUCCAUAAAAUUUGAAAUAAUAUAUAAUUUGCAAGCAAUUAUUAUAGAUUAACUAAUAAUUCAAAUAAAAGUGAAAUCAUUGCAAUACAAGACAAUCCAAUCAGAAAAUAAUCGGAUCAUUGAGGCGAUGAAUAAUGUAACCGAAGCAAAAAAAAAAAGUUUUGACUGUUCAAAAAGAAAAACUAAGAGUAAAAGAAAUGAAAGAAGAAAAUAAAGUUUAAUGAUGGAUGUGGAUUCUAUUGUCGAUCCGACUCGUCGUGAAUUUAUGCGACAAGACGAAUAAUGUAUAAAAGAAGUCAAUAAUAUCCACAAUCACAACCACAACAAUCUUUGUCCCAUUCACUCAAUCUAUAAUAAUUUUGGUGUUUCUGGAAACGACAUAUCUCCUACUAAGUUAUUAUUAUUAUGUUAUUUACCGUAGUUUCAGUUUUCAUGUAUUUCCAAUUUUAAGGUUUUUUCAUUUAAUGUAUUUUCAAUUUUAGCAACAUCUAAUAUUUUAUAUUCGCACCUUUCAAUUUUAGCAACAUCUAAUAUUUCAUAUUUGCACCAUUAAUUUUUUGAGAUGAUUAUAUAUUUUUUGUACAAUUAUAACUUAUAAUAAAAUUAACUUACAAUUUUACAUAAAAAUAAUAAAUGCACGAAAAUUAAUUUAUCAAAAUUAUACGUCAAAGUUAAAAUGUAAAAUUAAUAUUAUAAAGAUAUUACAUAAAUAUAAUUAGAUACAUAUAAAGAGAUAAAUUAAAAGAGUUAUAUAAUAAAAUAUGCAUGAAUAGUAGUGGGGGAGAGGGAACACUAUUCAUCUCCAUUUUGGGGACAAAAAUGAGGGAGGGUUGGAGUUUGGUUACCGUAAAAGUUGUCCAUUAUGAGGAAACCCGACCUUCCCCUUUGUAAGAAUUGCCCGCCCUUCUCUGGAAUUACCCGGGGAGAGUGACUACACUUUUCCUGCUGCGUCCCUUCCAGAUAACCUGCAACAAAACGCCAAUUCUUUUUUGUUUCCACCCCCAAUUUACUCAAUAUUAGUGCGUUUGUAAGUUAAAACGCAUAUGGGAAGAUGGGCGAAUCACUUCAAUGAAUGAACAUGUGCAAUUAUGCAAGUAGACUACGAGUAGUAGUAGUAGUACCCCAUCAAAAAUGAAAAUAGAAAAAGCAACAUUUAAGAAUACGUGGC